rnacentral:rRNA from 1 species
AUUGAACGCUGGCGGCAGGCCUAACACAUGCAAGUCGAACGGUAACAGGAAGCAGCUUGCUGCUUUGCUGACGAGUGGCGGACGGGUGAGUAAUGUCUGGGAAACUGCCCGAUGGAGGGGGAUAACUACUGGAAACGGUAGCUAAUACCGCAUAACGUCGCAAGACCAAAGAGGGGGACCUUAGGGCCUCUUGCCAUCGGAUGUGCCCAGAUGGGAUUAGCUAGUAGGUGGGGUAACGGCUCACCUAGGCGACGAUCCCUAGCUGGUCUGAGAGGAUGACCAGCCACACUGGAACUGAGACACGGUCCAGACUCCUACGGGAGGCAGCAGUGGGGAAUAUUGCACAACGGGCGCAAGCCUGAUGCAGCCAUGCCGCGUGUAUGAAGAAGGCCUUCGGGUUGUAAAGUACUUUCAGCGGGUAGGAAGGGAGUAAAGUUAAUACCUUUGCUCAUUGACGUUACCCGCAGAAGAAGCACCGGCUAACUCCGUG